AGUAAAUAAAUUAUUUUUAAGGUCACAUAUAUAGUAUUACCAGAAAUACGAUUAAUAUAUGUAGCAAUUUAUUUUUAAUAUUAAAGAAGUGAUAUGGUAAUGUGGUGGAUGUAAUAUUCAAAUCAAAACAUUAUACUAUUAACUAUUUUCGGAACAAUUCUAAUGGCUAUAACUUAAAAACACAUCCUCGUUUUGAGUUUUGCGCAAAAGGAUGGAAUAUUUCGUCGGAUGGAAUAUACUACCACAGGUCAUUCAGUUGCAACAACAAUUAAAGUAGCAGGAAACAGUCAAGUACACAUAUUGUUAUGAGGAUUGCAAAACUUUUAAAUAUCAGAAACUGAAGAAGGCAUUGAUAAUCAGCAGAUGAUAAAAAAAGCAAAAGUACUGAUUAUACAAAUCUUUUAAAGCUAACCCAUCAGUACUUGCAAAGUCUCCUUUUCUGUUCGCGAAAAUUGAGUUCUAAAAUACCAUUAUUCACAUAACUACUAUAUCAAAGCACAAACUAAUGGAUUGAUCAAGAAGGGCACUGCAGUUGUAAAGCAGUUAUGCAACUUAUCAGUUAUCAACCCAUAACUGCGAUAACUACAAGUUUUUUUAAUAAGAAAAGAGAUUGUAUGACUUCAGUAUCCGCAAAACGGUAUCGUGCAUUGAUUCCCAUCUUAGAAUGGCUAUUUUCUGUAUAGGUGGAAAUAGGAAAGGUUAUGUCCUUUUUUCUAAUUCUUAAGACAAAGAGGCUUAAUCGGUUCAAGCAAAAAUGACGAUGAUCAUUAUGGAGCCGAUCAUGAUGACGAACACGAUAAUACAUAUAAUAAUAAAUAAAAUGAUUUUACUUGUAUUUUAGACUUAAAUAAAUAAAAAGCUAUCUGUUUAA